rnacentral:rRNA from 1 species
CACGUAGGGUGCGAGCGUUGUCCGGAAUUAUUGGGCGUAAAGAGCUCGUAGGCGGUGUGUCGCGUCGGCCGUGAAAACCUGCAGCUUAACUGUGGGCUUGCGGUCGAUACGGGCAUCACUGGAGUUCGGCAGGGGAGACUGGAAUUCCUGGUGUAGCGGUGAAAUGCGCAGAUAUCAGGAAGAACACCUAUGGCGAAGGCAGCUCUCUGGGACGGUACUGACGCUGAGACGCGAAAGCGUGGGGAACGAACAGG